UUGCCCACUGGGAUGUUGAUAUCCACUGAGCCCCUAAAAAUCAGCUGAUAGCAGUGUGAGUAAGUUCUGGGGUGCCAAAACCUCACUAAGAAGGUCACAUCUGGAAGAACUGAGAAGCGAACCCCACAGAAUUCAAGAUUGACCUGUGGUGGACUCCACUGUGUUUACUGCCAAUUUGGGAUGAUGCGUUGCUGUAAAGUGCUACCAAUAAAUGGGAAGUUUGGGCUAGCAGGAAAAGAACAGCAUGAUGCAAAACUAUACUCAGACCGGAGUGCUUACCAGUGUGUUUGCCAGACAGAAGGAGGUUUAUUUCCUUCUCAUAAGAGCUGCUAACUGCACUGCAGUGGUGGAAAUGACCGUGAACUUCAGAAUUCAAGAAGGCUGUUCUAAAAAAUACUGCAAAAAGUGUGAAAAUGCUCUAAAAGUAUAGCUGGUCAUCCUAAGUACAAAUGAGAGAUCUACAAGGUGUUAUUCCACCAGAGGAAGAUCCUGUACUCUGCAGUCCCACUACGGACCUGACUGUGGCAGAGGAGGAGCAGCCAUCUACUUACAGGUCAAUUCUGAAAGUAUUUGAGAGAGACAGUAGUUUUCUUCUGUAGACCAGUCACCGCAUUCUUCUUCAGUUCAUCCAUCUGCAGUCUACUCCUUCUGCUUCACAUUGGUGAUGAAUUAUGCUCUGCUUCCUCCGUCUAAUCCUUUUCAUUUAUUUAUAUUUUAUGGAGGGAACAUGAAAGACUCCUCAUAAAAAUCCAACUGUUUUUGAUAAACCUUGUCAUGUGCAAAUAAUGGAGCCUUGUCAAGCACAAGCCUUGCUGGAAAUUUAUGUCUUCUAAUAAUAAUAAAGGGAGAGAAUCAGGAACAAAUAAGGGAUAUAUUGAAUUGGAUUCAAAGUAUGUUUAUGAUUUUAAAUUGGUGGCAAUAAAGUGUUUUUUUAUC
rnacentral:lncRNA from 7 species